rnacentral:lncRNA from 1 species
CGGAUCCCCUUAAACCACACUGGAGCUCCUCCCGCUGCAGAUUUCGGUAUUGGGGACGUGGCAAGGCAGGAUCUGCGGUGGUGAAGGUAGAUGUUAGUGUCUGUGUGCCCGUCCUACAGGAGUCCGGGGAGUGGGAAGGAGUAGGGAAAAUCAAAGAGUGACCAUUGCUUUCUAUUCACGGCCCAUAAUCUACUAAAGCAGGUAUUUCGCCCUGACUCCCAGGUGCCGGUCAUCUCCCAAACACUGUCGUCGCCAUUGUCUCCUGUCGUUGUGUCCAUCUGACUGCCCGUCCCUCUUUCUGAAGGGCAUGGCAUCCUUUGAGGCAAGGAAAUGAGAAAACUGUCUCCGAUCCAAGCCGAGCAGGUCCAUCUUCAGUGAGAGAUCUGGUGGCCUCCAAGUGGCCGAAGACUACCUACCACCCUCUAAAGGGCUUCACGCAGACCUACAGCUAUCUGUCCCCACUCUGAAACUCCACUAGCCUGGAUUUCCCGCUGUGGGCACUGCUCUGAGAAUUGGGGAUCUUCACAGUAUAAUCUGACCAGAUCCUUUGGAAUUAUUCUGUAUCAAAAAUGCCCAUGGAGCAGAUACUUAAUCAGUUCAUGAUUAUGGAAUUUUCAAACCUCAGCUAAAGAGAAGGGUGAGUGGUGUGUGUGUGUGUGUGUGUGUGUGUGUGUGUGUGUGUGUGUGUGUGUGAGUCUUAACAAGAAGUUGAUGUUCUCUCCUUUGGUGGAACUCGUGGGAAGC